ensembl:lncRNA VPS13B-DT VPS13B divergent transcript
GCUGCUGGGGCCGCUGCGCCGGCGGCGGUUCCCGAUGUGGAGGUCCGUCUUGGGUGGGGAGGCACCCAGGUCGCUGGUUCGAUGCAGAGGAAGAAACCACACCUAGCACGUAAAGCCCUGAAAAAAUAGAGGUCUUCUUUUAUGGAAAAAGAUGCACGCAAAGACUAUAGGCCAAGUACAACAACAAGAUAUUACAGCAAAAGGAACCUCUCAGACUGAAGAUGUUCUUAAUAAGAACACUGAAGAAGUCCUUAGAAACCUAGCUUCACACAUCAACCAAGGGAAGAAAGAAUUCAUUGGAAAAUGAAGAUAAUAAGUACCCACUAUGCAGACUCUGGUGCUUAUUAUUUCCAAGAACAUCUUAUACUUUCACUACAGUUUUAUGAACUACAUGUCUCCAAAAUUUAUAUGAAUGAUAGGUACUCAUCAUUCUGCAAAUUAUUUUUUUCCCAUACAACAUUAUGUGCUUGAGAUUAAUCCAUGCUGAUACGUUUACUGCUAAACGGGUCAUUUUAACUACUAUAUGGUGUUCUAUUAUGUGAAUAUUGAUUAUUUAUUUACCCAUUCUCAUGCUAGGGGACAUUGAUUUUUUUUUAGUUUUUCUCUAUUACAAACAAUAUUUCAGAGAAUAUUCCUGCCCAUGUAUCUUUCUGCAGAUGUGUUUGAGUUUCUCUAGUGGAAUCACUGAGUUAAAGGGAUAUGUAUCUUUAAUUUCACUGGUCUAGGCCAAAUAUCUGAUUCACUUGCCCAUAUUCUUACUGAGAUGGUUGGUCAAGUUAUGUAUUUAUUUUUUCAUUUUCUUUUUUUAUUUUGCCCCGGGCAGGAAAUGAAGUGUUAAUCAAGUUGACAAGAGCAUCAUCUUUCUAUUUCUAACCUUUUCUAGAUUUAAACAGAUAGAAAUAUGGCAGAAUUCUUUUAGAAGUCAAGAAGACUAACAUAAAAUAAGGAGCUUUCAGAUGGAUCUUGAUCAGAACCACAUAAAAAUAUGGCCAUGUCCUGUCAUCGCAUUAUGAAAUUUACAACACAGCACUGUCAAUAUGUGAUGUUGCAAAAACACAGUGCCACAUGGUAAACAUUGCCGAGGUCUGUGAAUAAAUCCCUCUGAGAGCUUAUGACUCUUUAUGACCCAGUUCACAAAUGAAAUAACUUUUAGAGUAGAGAAACAUUGACUUUUUAGAUCAAGAUAAUGGGAAAUGUUAAAUUCUGACCCAUAACACCAACUGAACUACUGUUUUAAUGCUGUCCUUAAAUAGGCAACAUGUCUAUUAGUUUAAUUUGGUGUUCUAAAUGCUGGAUCUUAUGCAAUUCCUUUAGCCUUGUAUUUAAGAUGAUCUAUUUGGAAAGAUAGGUUAUGGGAAAACUUUCUUAGUCUCAGCCCCUGCAAUUAAACAGUUUAUGUUUCCUCAUUCAACAAAUAUUAAAAUAUAAUAAAGAAUAUGAAAGUAUUUAUAUUAUCUACUUAACAUAGUUUUUUUCCCUAUAUUCAUUUUCUUAUUUAGAUAAAAGAUGUAGGGCAUGAACAAUGCAGUUUCACUGGGAGGUUUACCUUGGUAAAAAGACAGGAGCUAUUACAUUCUAUCUUGUCAAUGAUCCAUGGAUAAUGGGUCAGCAGGGGAUUUAAGAACUGUAUCUUUCAGUUCUUGCCAGAGAGAUACAUCAAUGUGCACUGAUGUGAGCUAUAAUAUGACACACCUUGCAGAACCCUCAAAACCCUUCAGGCACUCUAAGCUGCUUUUAUGAAGAUACGGGACUAAAGGUUGUCAGUUAAGGAUGGUAUUUUGUAAAUAAUUUCGGUAACAGAAUGAUUUCCCUAUUUCUCCAUAUUAAAUUCUAAUGCAUAAGAAUUAAUCCUCAGGUUUAAAAGUCCUUAGUUUUGUUUUGAUUAUUUCCAUUACAUUAGCAGCAGAUCUGUUUUUACCGAUAGGGUAAAACAGACCCAAUAUAUGCGUUGGUUUAUACAUACAUUAUUUUAUAUAUACAUUGUUUAUUGUUAAGUGGGGGUGGAGGGAAGCAAGUUGAAAAAUAGUAUUACAGUAGAUCCUAUUUGUGUGUGAUUGUCCAGAUUAGUUGGGGUGGGAGCAGAUAAUAAGAAAUUUACCUUAUACACUUAUAUACUGUUUGAAUAUUUUAAAAUAAGUAUGAUUGUUUUUAUCAUCUAAAAAAUAAGUAAAUUUACUUUUCAAUGUAAAAAUAUUACUUUCAAUUUACAGUCUUCUGUGUGGUCUUUAAAAUUUUAAGAAAGUUUUAAGAAAUUAAAUUAACAGUCUUCUGUAGGGUCUUUAAAAUUUUGAGAAGUUUUAAGAAAAUAAAUGAUAUGUGUUUCA